rnacentral:lncRNA from 1 species
GCACUGGGGGAAAGGGAGAGUAUCAUGGUUACAGCUGGAUCACCUAAGGCAGAGAGGGAAGGAACCAACAGGUAUAUGAAGAAGACUGUAUUUCCUCCUCAGGAAGAAAAAAUCACCUAUAAGUGCCUAAACCCUAUAUUGAAGGCUACAGAGAGGACUACAUUGAGACUUGGCAAAGUCCUAUAGAAGUUUUGUUUUCUUAUGGUAAACUGCAAUGGCCUGUACCAACAUAAUUAUUUAAAGUAAUUUGUAGCAUAUGUCCAAGCAAAGAGCUGCAAUUUAAAUAAGGCUAUUUUCAAAGGGGAGUUUGCUUUUCCUUUUCCUACAUUGCAGCAUUCCAGGAAAUUGUGGAGCUCUAUGAAGAAGAUCAAGUAUUUUCUUAUUUUUGAAGAUAUUGCGGAAAUAAAUAAAACAGCAUCUAGAUAAGUGCAAAA